UACGGAGGAUGCGAGCGUUAUCCGGAUUUAUUGGGUUUAAAGGGUGCGUAGGCGGAAGGUUAAGUCAGCGGUCAAAUGUCGGUGCUCAACACCGGCCUGCCGUUGAAACUGGUCUUCUUGAGUGAGCGAGAAGUAUGCGGAAUGCGUGGUGUAGCGGUGAAAUGCAUAGAUAUCACGCAGAACUCCGAUUGCGAAGGCAGCAUACCGGCGCUCAACUGACGCUGAGGCACGAAAGCGUGGGGAUC
rnacentral:rRNA from 1 species